rnacentral:rRNA from 1 species
UACGGAGGAUGCGAGCGUUAUCCGGAUUUAUUGGGUUUAAAGGGUGCGCAGGCGGCACGGCAAGCCGGCGGUCAAAUCGCGGGGCUCAACCCCGCCCAGCCGUCGGAACUGCCGGGCUAGAGUGGGCGAGAAGUGCGCGGAAUGCGUGGUGUAGCGGUGAAAUGCAAAGAUAUCACGCAGAACUCCGAUUGCGAAGGCAGCGCACCGGCGCCCUACUGACGCUCAGGCACGAAAGCGUGGGUAUCGAACAGG